CGUAAACAACCUGCCUUCAGGAUGAGGACAACAGACGGAAACGACUGCUAAUACCGAAUAAGUUCCAAGGGCCGCAUGGCCCAUGGAAGAAAAGGUGGCCUCUACCUAUAAGCUAUCGCCUGAAGAGGGGUUUGCGUCUGAUUAGCUAGUUGGAGGGGUAACGGCCCACCAAGGCGAUGAUCAGUAGCCGGUCUGAGAGGAUGAACGGCCACAUUGGGACUGAGACACGGCCCAG
rnacentral:rRNA from 1 species